GACGAACGCUGGCGGCGUGCUUAACACAUGCAAGUCGAACGAUGAUGCUGGAGCUUGCUCCAGUUGAUUAGUGGCGAACGGGUGAGUAACACGUGAGCAAUCUGCCCUUGACUCUGGGAUAACUGCGGGAAACUGUAGCUAAUACCGGAUACUUUCACCGGAAGGCAUCUUCUGGUGAUGAAAGAAUUUCGGUCAGGGAUGAGCUCGCGGCCUAUCAGCUUGUUGGUGAGGUAACGGCUCACCAAGGCGACGACGGGUAACCGGCCUGAGAGGGUGACCGGUCACACUGGGACUGAGACACGGCCCAGACUCCUACGGGAGGCAGCAGUGGGGAAUAUUGCACAAUGGGCGCAAGCCUGAUGCAGCAACGCCGCGUGAGGGAUGAAGGCCUUCGGGUUGUAAACCUCUUUUAGCAGGGAAGAAGCGAAAGUGACGGUACCUGCAGAAAAAGCACCGGCUAACUACGUGCCAGCCGCCGCCGUAA
rnacentral:rRNA from 1 species